GUCCACAUAGCUCAGCUGGAUAGAGCAACGGCCUUCUAAGCCGUGGGUCGCGUGUUCAAAUCAUGCUGUGGACG
rnacentral:tRNA from 1 species